rnacentral:lncRNA from 1 species
GCCUACCAAAAGGACUCAAGAGUCUACCCUACUAGCCAAAGAGACCAUCUGAGCAUUAAGGAUAAUACAGCAAUGAAAACAUCAGAUGUGUUUAAAUCCACGUGUUCACGAUGAUGGACGAGAAGCAGCAACAGAGACUCUCCCUGGUCAUCUCUGGAGGACUCCAGGGAACCAACCGACCUAUGAAAAUUAUACCAGAGAGACAGAGAGUCCAACGCUGAUCCUCUCUGUCCCCCAUGAUCUGUGACCCAGAAUGUGCUUUGGCUCCCUUGGUUGGAGAAGCCAGGGUUUGGUCCUUAUUUGGGACUCAAUUCAAGCAAACUGUUUAAAAAAAAAAAAAAUCGUAAGACCACUGGGGAAAUUCUGCCUGGAUAUUUUGUACUAUUAAGUAAUUAUAAUGAAUUUGGGUCUAGAUAUAAUUGUGGUUGUGCUUUUGGGGAAGCUUCUGUUUUUGAAAUACACACUGAUGAAAUCUCAGAUGCCUGGGAUGGGCUUCAGAAUAGUCUGGGAGCAGUUGGGGGUGGGAGCUCAUGGAGAACUGUGGAGCUGGGGGGUCGGCUUGUGGUCGCCUCUCUCUGCUUCUGCACACAUCU